rnacentral:rRNA from 1 species
UUGACGGGGCCCGCACAAGCGGUGGAGCAUUGUGGUUUAAUUCGAAGCAACGACGAAGAACCUUACCAGGUCUUGACAUCCCGAUGCUAUUCUAGAGAUAGAAAGUUACUUCGGUACAUCGGUGACAGGUGGUGCAUGGUUGUCGUCAGCUCGUGUCGUGAGAUGUUGGGUUAAGUCCCGCAACGAGCGCAACCCCUAUUGUUAGUUGCCAUCAUUCAGUUGGGCACUCUAGCGAGACUGCCGGGUAAUAAACCGGAGGAAGGUGGGGAUGACGUCAAAUCAUCAUGCCCCUUAUGACCUGGGCUACACACGUGCUACAAUGGUUGGUACAACGAGUUGCGAGUCGGUGACGGCGAGCUAAUCUCUUAAAGCCAAUCUCAGUUCGGAUUGUAGGCUGCAACUCGCCUACAUGAAGUCGGAAUCGCUAGUAAUCGCGGAUCAGCACGCCGCGGUGAAUACGUUCCCGGGCCUU